rnacentral:rRNA from 1 species
UGGGGAAUAUUGGACAAUGGGCGAAAGCCUGAUCCAGCCAUGCCGCGUGUGUGAAGAAGGUCUUCGGAUUGUAAAGCACUUUAAGUUGGGAGGAAGGGCAGUAAGUUAAUACCUUGCUGUUUUGACGUUACCAACAGAAUAAGCACCGGCUAACUUCGUGCCAGCAGCCGCGGUAAUACGAAGGGUGCAAGCGUUAAUCGGAAUUACUGGGCGUAAAGCGCGCGUAGGUGGUUCAGCAAGUUGGAUGUGAAAUCCCCGGGCUCAACCUGGGAACUGCAUCCAAAACUACUGAGCUAGAGUACGGUAGAGGGUGGUGGAAUUUCCUGUGUAGCGGUGAAAUGCGUAGAUAUAGGAAGGAACACCAGUGGCGAAGGCGACCACCUGGACUGAUACUGACACUGAGGUGCGAGAGCGUGGGGAGCAAACAGGAUUAGAUACCCUGGUAGUCCACGCCGUAAACGAUGUCGACUAGCCGUUGGGAUCCUUGAGAUCUUAGUGGCGCAGCUAACGCGAUAAGUCGACCGCCUGGGGAGUACGGCCGCAAGGUUA